rnacentral:rRNA from 1 species
UACGGAGGGUGCAAGCGUUGUUCGGAAUCACUGGCGUAAGGGCGGUGUAGGCGGUCCGCUAAGUCUGAUGUGAAAGCCCGAGGCUUACCCUCGGAAGUGCAUUGGAGACUGGCGGACUGGAGUCCCGGAGAGGAGGGUGGAAUUCCUGGUGUAGCGGUGAAAUGCGUAGAUAUCAGGAGGAACACCGGUGGCGAAGGCGGCCCUCUGGACGGUGACUGACGCUGAGACGCGAAAGCGUGGGGAGCAAACAGG